GUAUUGUUUUUUAAUGAAUAAAUAAAUAAGUAAAUAAAUAGUUUAAUUAUUUUAAUGCGAAUUAAUUUUUUUUCAGGUUUAAAUUAUAGGUGCAAUAUAUGACAGUAAGGAGAAGAAGAAAAUUAAAUUGUGCAUUGAGGUUAAAAAUUCCAACCAUACGGCAAGUCAUAAUAAAUUUGACACAUACCAUAAGGAAACGAGCGACACCAGUUCGGAAAAUUAAUUAGGAUAAAUAUUGUCUUGAAAUUUUAUUUUGGGCGCAAGCGCAGUUGCGUUUGGUGAGGGUACCUGGCAGCUCUGAUGCAUACAUUCGCCUCAAAAUGAAAAGAGCAGAACGAUUAUUACGUCGAAUCCAAAAACGAAUAUUAAAUUUGAGAAAAUUAUUUACUCGAAUUAACAUUUCACAUAGCUUCUAUUUUCAGUUUUCACUAAACAAUAAAUAACUAAUACACUGAAAAAAAAAAUUUAUUU